ACAGAGCUUCCUGAAUUUUAUUUGACAGUGUUCCAAGAAUAUUUAGGGAAAUCAAGGUUUUCAGUGACACAGCCUUGUCCCAGCACAAUUUAGUUUGUUUGUUGGUGUUCAAACAGAAAGCGAUUACCAAAUUAAGAAAACACAGACGGUAUAUCUUAACUCCGUAGAAGAAUCUUUAGCUUGACGUCUUCUGUAACUGUAAGUACCUCCCUUUUAGAAUUAUGUAGACCUAUUAACUCAGAGUACAACUGGGAUUAAAGAAAUCGAUUGUGGUUUUCAGCCAUAUACAGGAAAUUAGAUUAAUUUGUUUUUUUACUUCUC